rnacentral:rRNA from 1 species
GACGAACGCUGGCGGCGUGCUUAACACAUGCAAGUCGAACGGAGUGGCGAACGGGUGAGUAACACGUGGGUGACCUGCCCUGCACUUCGGGAUAAGCCUGGGAAACUGGGUCUAAUACCGGAUAGUGGGGGAUGGGCCCGCGGCCUAUCAGCUUGUGGGUGGGGUAAUGGCCUACCAGGGCGGCGACGGGUAGCCGGCCUGAGAGGGUGGACGGCCACAGUGGGACUGAGACACGGGCCAGACGGAUACGGGAGGCAGCGGGGGGGAAUAGUGCACACUGGGCGGAAGCAUGAUGCAGCGACGCCGCGUGGGGGAGGUCGGCCUUCGGGUUGUAAACUCCUUUCACCAUCGACGCGGUAGAUGGAGAAGAAGCACCGGCUAACUACGUGCCAGCAGCCGCGGUAAUUC